rnacentral:tRNA from 1 species
CGGGGUGUAGCGCAGCACGGUAGCGCACCUGCAUGGGGUGCAGGGGGCCGUCGGUUCGAAUCCGACCACCCCGACCA